rnacentral:rRNA from 1 species
AUUGAACGCUGGCGGAAUGCUUUACACAUGCAAGUCGAACGGUAGAGGGGGCAACCCCUCGAGAGUGGCGAACGGGUGAGUAAUAUAUCGGAACGUGCCCAGUCGUGGGGGAUAACGUAGCGAAAGUUACGCUGAUACCGCAUACGAUCUAAGGAUGAAAGCGGGGGAUCGCAAGACCUCGCGCGCUUGGAGCGGCCGAUAUCAGAUUAGGUAGUUGGUGGGGUAAAGGCUCACCAAGCCAACGAUCUGUAGCUGGUCUGAGAGGACGACCAGCCACACUGGAACUGAGACACGGUCCAGACUCCUACGGGAGGCAGCAGUGGGGAAUUUUGGACAAUGGACGCAAGUCUGAUCCAGCCAUUCCGCGUGCAGGAUGAAGGCCCUCGGGUUGUAAACUGCUUUUGUACGGAACGAAAAGGUCUCUCUUAAUACGGGGGGACUCAUGACGGUACCGUAAGAAUAAGCACCGGCUAACUACGUGCCAGCCGCCGCAGUAUAC